UUGCUUCGGUGAUUGACCUAGCGGCGGACGGGUGAGUAAUACUUAGGAAUCUGCCUAUUAAUGGGGGACAACAUCUCGAAAGGGAUGCUAAUACCGCAUACGCCCUACGGGGGAAAGCAGGGGAUCACUUGUGACCUUGCGUUAAUAGAUGAGCCUAAGUCGGAUUAGCUAGUUGGUGGGGUAAAGGCCUACCAAGGCGACGAUCUGUAGCGGGUCUGAGAGGAUGAUCCGCCACACUGGGACUGAGACACGGCCCAGACUCCUACGGGAGGCAGCAGUGGGGAAUAUUGGACAAUGGGGGGAACCCUGAUCCAGCCAUGCCGCGUGUGUGAAGAAGGCCUUAUGGUUGUAAAGCACUUUAAGCGAGGAGGAGGCUCUCUUGGUUAAUACCCAAGAAGAGUGGACGUUACUCGCAGAAUAAGCACCGGCUAACUCUGUGCCAGCAGCCGCGGUAAUACAGGGGGGGGGAGCGUUAAUCGGAUUUACUGGGCGUAAAGCGUGCGUAGGCGGCUUUUUAAGUCGGAUGUGAAAUCCCCGAGCUUAACUUGGGAAUUGCAUUCGAUACUGGGAAGCUAGAGUAUGGGAGAGGAUGGUAGAAUUCCAGGUGUAGCGGUGAAAUGCGUAGAGAUCUGGAGGAAUACCGAUGGCGAAGGCAGCCAUCUGGCCUAAUACUGACGCUGAGGUACGAAAGCAUGGGGAGCAAACAGGAUUAGAUACCCUGGUAGUCCACGCCGUAAACGAUGGGUACUAGGUGUAGGGGGUAUCGACUCCCCCUGUGCCGCCGUAAACACAAUAAGUACCCCGCCUGGGGAGUACGGUCGCAAGAUUAAAACUCAAAGGA
rnacentral:rRNA from 1 species